rnacentral:rRNA from 1 species
UACGAAGGGGGCUAGCGUUGCUCGGAAUGACUGGGCGUAAAGGGCGCGUAGGCGGUUCGUACAGUCAGACGUGAAAUUCCCGGGCUCAACCUGGGGGCUGCGUUUGAUACGUGCGGGCUUGAGUUCGGAAGAGGGUCGUGGAAUUCCCAGUGUAGAGGUGAAAUUCGUAGAUAUUGGGAGGAACACCGGGUGGCGAAGGCGGUUCUCUGGGCCUUACCUGACGCUGAGGAGCGAAAGCGUGGGGAGCGAACAGG